GGAUAAAGCUACUAAGCGUACACGGGGGAUGCCUUGGCACCAACUGCCGAAGAAGGGCGUGGCAAGACUGCGAUAAGCCUCGGUUAGUCGUCUAGCUGACUUAACCGGGGAUUCCCGAAUGGGGUAACCCAAUUCACUAAAUGUGGAUUAUCUUUGAACUAACCCUUAAUUCAAAGAAGGUAAGCAGGGGAACUGAAACAUCUAAGUACCCUGAGGAAGAGAAAUCAAAAGAGAUUCCCGUAGUAGUGGCGAACGAAAUGGGAAUAGCCUAAACCAUAGAGACUUCACGGCUUUGGGGCCCAUGUCUUUAUGGGGUUGCAAGAAGUAUGUGUUGAGGCCCAUAACUCAACGAGGAGUAAGAAAACCAUUUUCUAUUCGAAUGUUCCUGGAACGGACUGCCAGAGAAGGUGAGAGCCCGGUAGAUUAAAGGAAAUGGUCUCCUUAUUACUUUCUUAAGUAGAGCGGGACACGUGAAAUCUUGCUUGAAUCUGGGGGGACCAUCCUCCAAGGCUAAAUACAGUUGGUGACCGAUAGUGAACUAGUACCGUGAGGGAAAGGUGAAAAGUACCCCGAGAGGGGAGUGAAAUAGACCUGAAACCGUGUACGUACAAACAGUCGGAGUAUCGAUUUAUCGAUAUGACGGCGUGCCUUUUGAAGAAUGAACCUGCGAGUUACUGGGACGUGGCAAGGUUAAUCUGCUCAGCAGAGGAGCCGAAGCGAAAGCGAGUCUGAAUAGGGCAUUCAGUCGCGUUCCGUAGACCCGAAACCAGGCGAGCUACCCAUGGCCAGGUUGAAGCUCAGAUAGUCUCUGAGUGAAGGACCGAACCCAUUUCAAGUACAAAUGGAUGGGAUGAGUUGUGGGUAGAGGUGAAAUGCCAAUCGAGCUUGGAAAUAGCUGGUUCUCCCCGAAAUGCAUUUAGGUGCAGCGUUGAAGAUUGACUUAAGGAGGUAAGGCUCUGGAUGGGUCAGGGGGUGCAAACUUACCGAUCCCAACCAAACCAAGAAUGCCUUAAGCUCGUACUUCAGCAGUGAGACAGUGGGGGAUAAGCUCCAUUGUCGAGAGGGAAACAGCCCAGAUCGUAGGCUAAGGUCCCUAAGUGUGUAUUAAGUGUGAAACGAAGUGAAAACGCUAAAACAGCUAGGAGGUUGGCUUAGAAGCAGCCACCCUUUAAAGAGUGCGUAAUAGCUCACUAGUCGAGGGUUUUUGCGCGGAAAAUGUAACGGGGCUAAAUACACCACCGAAGCCACGGGCCCGUAUUUAUACGGGCGGUAGGGGAGCGUUGCCAGGGCGUCGAAGCUGAGUUGUGAGACUUGGUGGAGCGCUGGGAAGUGAGAAUGCCGGCAUGAGUAGCGACAAUCCUGGUGAGAAUCCAGGACACCGAAAGCCUAAGGUUUCCUACGCAAUGCUGAUCAGCGUAGGGUAAGUCGGUCCUAAGCCGUAGCGUGUAGCGAAGGCGAUGGACAGCAGGUCAAAAUUCCUGCACCGCAGAUUAAGCGUUAUAAAGCAAAGGGGGGACACGGGAAGAUAGGCGGAGCGCACCCAUUGGACAUGGUGCGUCUGGUCUUGAAGGCCAUGCCAGGACAGGCAAAUCCGUUCUGGCGUUAUGAGCUGAGGGGACUGGAAACUCCAGGGCAUAUGCCCUAGGGAAUUCCGUUGAUUCUAUGCCGUCGAGAAAAGCCUCGUUGCAAGUUUUUUCAGCGUCCGUACCGCAAACCGACACAGGUAGGCAGGGGUAAGUAUCCCUAGGUGAACGAGAGAACCCUCGUUAAGGAAUUCGACAAGUUGACUCCGUAACUUCGGGAUAAGGAGUACCCAUAGGGUGAUAGUCAUUUACUGACUGGAUGCCCUUGUGGGUGGCACUAAACAGGCUCAGGCGACUGUUUAUCAAAAACACAGGUCUCUGCUAAAGCGAAAGCUGAUGUAUAGGGGCUGACACCUGCCCAGUGCCGGAAGGUUAAGGGGAUGGGUUCGUGGUUUACCACAAAGCUCAGAACCGAAGCCCCGGUGAACGGCGGCCGUAACUAUAACGGUCCUAAGGUAGCGAAAUCCCUUGUCGGGUAAGUUCCGACCCGCACGAAUGGUGUAACGACCUGAGCGUUGUCUCAACGAGGGACUCGGUGAAAUUGCAAGACCCGUGAAGAUGCGGGUUACGCGUGACAGGACAAAAAGACCCCGUGGAGCUUUACUGUAGCUUGGCACUGGACUUGGGUUAUAAAUGUGUAGGAUAGGCGGGAGACUUUGAAGCAGAUACGCCAGUAUUUGUGGAGUCGCUCUUGAAAUACCGCUCUUUUGUAAUUUGGGCCCUAACUCAACGAAAAUUGAGGACCCUGCCAGGUGGGCAGUUUGACUGGGGCGGUCGCCUCCCAAAAGGUAACGGAGGCGCCCAAAGGUUCCCUCAAGGUGGAUGGAAAUCACCUGCAGAGUGCAUUGGCAUAAGGGAGCUUGACUGUGAGACAUACAAGUCGAGCAGGGACGAAAGUCGGGCAAAGUGAUCCCACGAUUCCGAGUGGAAGGGUCGUGGCUUAACGGAUAAAAGCUACCCCGGGGAUAACAGGCUUAUCUCCCCCAAGAGCUCACAUCGACGGGGGGGUUUGGCACCUCGAUGUCGGCUCGUCACAUCCUGGGGCUGGAGAAGGUCCCAAGGGUUGGGCUGUUCGCCCAUUAAAGUGGCACGCGAGCUG
rnacentral:rRNA from 1 species